UCAAAAGAACUGCAAUAACUGUUCUCUUCUCUUUGCUGAUUUUAGGCUCUCCAGACCCCUCCUCUCUGUCAGUGAGGAGGGGGAAGAGCUGUCUGCCUCCUGCUCUGUGUCUCACUCCUGUCCAUCUGAUCCCCCUCUCCUCACCUGGAGCAACUCCGGAACACCCAGCAUCCAAUCACAGCAACUGACCGACAGCCAGUAGGAAGUGACGUCAUCCCUGACCUUUACCCCCAGCAGCACUGAUCACAACCACUCUCUGGUCUGCACAGCAGCAUACAGGGGAGGGAAGACAGUGAAAAGGUUGAAAACUCUCAGUGGCAAAUGCUGAAGAGGAUGGCAACCCAUUCGAGUGUGAGGUUGGAGAUGAUUCAGUCUAUGGCAACAUGUGAACACAACUGGAAGCAUGUGGAAGUCAGCUGGCUCAGAGCCCAUGGUACUCAGUCUGUCAAAGGUUUCAGUAAAAUAUUAUGUAGCAGAACUGGUGACUGCUUAUAUUUGUUAACUUGAUGUAGCUUUAUGGUUCUUAUGGCUAAUGAAUAUGGUGCAUUCUUAUUUGGGCUGUGGCGUUUAUGUUACGGCUUUUACAAGGCGUUUGUUUAUCUGUAGCUUGGUUGAUUCAGAAGGAUUUUUACUAAAUGUAAAAUACAACCAGUAUUUAACAAUAGCUUGUUUCACCCUUC